AAAUGGAGGGGAAGAGCAGUUGUCACAUGAUUGAGUGUCAGUGUUCUAGUAUCAGAGGGCCAUGGCAGGCCUGGAGCAACAUCUGGAAUGUCCAAAGACCAGGAGACUGGUGAGUCCUUGUGGAUUUCUUCUCUGCUUGAGUACAUAAAGCAGGUAUAUUGCACAGAAUCGAGGCCAUCAAGCUACAGAUGCUUUUACAAAUGGAACCCCGAAUAAGCUCAACUAACAACUUCUACUGAGGACCCCUGGAUGAACCCACUGGCCCUUCCACUGGCCUAAAGAGUUCCCCUCUGGAGGACACUACAACUGCAGGGCCCCUUCUUCACCCCUAUCCAGCAGGAAGUAGCUAGAGCAGUCAUUGCCCAAUUCCCAACAGCAGUUGGGGUGUCAUGUUUAGAAGGGGGAUUGAGAGGUGAAGCCAGCUGGGCUUCUGGGUCAGGUGGGGACUUGGAGAACUUUUCUGUCUAGCUAAAGGAUUGUAAACACACAAAUCAGUGCUCUGUGUCUAGCUAAAGGUUUGUAAAUGCACCAAUCAGCACUCUGUAAAAACACACCAAUCUGCGCUCUGUGUCUAGCUAAAGGUUUGUAAACGCACCAAUCAGCACUCUGUAAAAAUGCACCAAUCAGUGCUCUGUGUCUAGCUAAAGGUUUGUAAAUGCACCAAUCAACUCUCUGUAAAAAUGGACCAAUCAGCACUCUGUAAAAUGGACUAAUCAGCACUCUGUAAAAUGGACCAAUCAGCAGGAUGUGGGCCGGGCCAAAUAAGGGAAUAAAAGCUGGCCACCCAAGACAGCAGCAGCAACCCGCUCUGGUCCCCUUCCAUGCCAUGGAAACUUUCUUUUGCUCUUCGCAAUAAAUCUUGCUGCUGCUCACUCUUUGGGUCCACACUAGCUUUACGAGCUGUAAUACUCACCACGAAGGUCUGCAGCUUCACUCCUGAAGCCAGCAAACCACGAACCCACCAGGAGGAACAAAUAACUCUGGACACGCCACCUUUAAGAGCUGUAACACUCACUGUGAAGGUCUGUGGCUUCACUCCUGAAGUCAGUGAGACCACGAACCCACCGAGAGGAACAAACAACUCUGGACGUGCCACCUUUAAGAGCUCUAACACUCACUGCAAAGGUCUGCAACUUCACUUCUGAAGUCAGCGAGACCACAAACCCACCAGAAGGAAGAAACUCCGGACACAUCUGAACACAUCUGAAGGAAAAAACUCUGGACACACCAUCUUUAAGAACUGUAACACUCACUGCGAGGGUCUGCGGCUUCAUUCUUGAAGUCAACAAGACCAAGAACCCACCAGAAGGAACUAAUUCUGGACACAGUAGCACCUCUUUAAAAGAUUGUUUAGUGAGUUAAUGAAAUAAUCCAUGUAAAGCAUCUAUGGCAGAUAGGUGAAUCUUCAACAAAUAUUAGCUACAAUUAUUAUCCAUAAAUGGAAGCUCUCAAUCUAGGGAGGAAAAAGGCACACAGGUAGGCAUGUCAGCCUAUCUGGGUAGUACUGUGUCAGGGAGAGGACAUUCUGAUCAAAGAACUUAGAGGAAGAAGGCUUUGUAGAGAGAAGAUGUUUAGAAACUCAAAGUGAUCACUUUGGCAAACAGACCAAAAAACUCACUUGGGCACUCCAUUGUUCUUUGUUUAAUUCCAUGAAUAUAAGUGAAUAAGAGUUUGAGUUUUUAAAAAUAAAUCUCAAGUCUUUUACCAAGACUUGAGGACUACAAUGCAUUUAACUAUUCAAUCGGAUGUAGUCUGUCAACAUAUAUACAUAAACUAUAUUUUUCUAGAAUUGUCAAGGGAACAACAUUAUUGUCUGUUUCUAACUACACCAAUUAUGCAGGUGUAGAGAGUCCUGCUAGGGGUGCACUACUCCACCUAGCAGAGAGGUGAGAAAGGUUUUUCAUUUCCUCAUUGUAGUCUUAUGGUGAUUGAGUAGGCAUCACUUCUAGAAAAUUGCCAUCACUCUGCUCACCCACUUUGUGGAGAGCAGUGUAAAGGAAGGAAGUCUAGCUACUUAGUCUGGAUAGCAUCAAGGAGUUCACUUGUUGCAACCAAUUUGAAAGACUCAUUGGAUUGGCGUGUUUACAGAGUGAUGGACAGACAUGGUAGGGUAUCAGAAAUAAUUUGAAUUCAUAAUAUAUUGGUGGUUUAUUUAUGAGGCAUAAAUUUGCAGGAAGUUAAUGGCCAUAAUUUAUUGAGCACCUGCUAUGUUUUCAGAACUCAGAGUUUUCCACACAUUAUUACACAGAAUCCUCAGUGCAAUCGUACAAGGAAGGUAUUAUUAUUAGUCUCAUUUUAUAGAUGAGGUAAAAGAAGCUCAAAAGUUAUAGAUCUCUGAAUGUGCUUUUUAAGUCAGGGAUGUUGGCUUCAAGAACAGAACUGCAGUCAGGCUGGUGUUAAUGAGUUUUAUAGUAUAAUAUAACAGACAGUCACAGAAACAUCAAAGGACAAGAAGUGGGUGGUAUAUCUUGAGCAACUGGACAUCAGGGGCUGUCUCUCCUCAUUGCUUCUCUCUUUUUCUCUUCUUUCUGAAUACACUCUGGCCCUGAUUCUUCUAUCUUUUAACUAGAGUCUCUCGAUCACACCGUUGAGUCAGGGGUCCAACCUGGGUCUGAUGUCUGGCCGUGAAGCAAUCAGUGAAAACCAGAGGGUUGAGGUUAUGCAGGUGUAGAAAGCCACAUCAACUUGAAAGGUGUCACAAAGCUAGUAAAUGGCAGAGGGAGAACGCCAAGUCACAUCUGUCUGAUGCCCAUAUUCUUUCCACUAAAAAAAAGGAGUGGGGCAGAACAGAGUUUGAGUAAGACAUUCAGCUAUCUACCCUGAAUGAUAGCUCCACACUGCACAAGGCUUGAGGAAAAACACUGUAACUGGCAAGGAGCUCAGAAGUAAUACUCUUCAAAUUCCUCAUUUUAUUGGCCAAAUGACUUGGCAAAACAAUGUGGUUAAUAUUUAUUUAAAUAUAUUUGGAUAGGGAAAAUAUAGGAUUGUUCUCACAGUUGCAUAGUCUAACAUCUUUCAAAUAUUGUGAGGUUGAAGCAGGCUAAGGAGCAAAAAGUCUAAGCUUCUAGGGCAGUAUGUUUAAUCUACCCAAAUCCAACACCACAAAUCAAGUAUUCACUUCAUUUCACUUUGACAUUGAAACCAAAGUUGGUGAGAGAGUUAAAGUUGUCUCCUCUACCCUUGGGUUAGAAAAUAUUUUUCCAAAUUGGUCCUAACUCUCUCAUAAAACACAUAUAUACAGAAUGUUGGAAAUGCUUAUUCAUAUCUCUCCCUGUGAAAGUUUUUGGGAAAUAAUCUCAGAAAAGCCAAAAGACAAAGUUGUACACAUAUUCCUGGCAGCUUCCUCUGAGUACCAAAUUAAAAUUUAAUGUUCAGCAAAUGGUUUAGUGAAAUAUUGUAGAUUGGUAUAAGAAAAUGCUAUGCCAAUAAUCCUUUUAACAUGAUGGGGAAAAAUAUUAUAUAAUAAUUUAAAAUAAUAAAAAAUGGCAUGAAUUCCACAAUUAAAGAAUA